AAGGAAUAUUGCUCAAUGGGAGAAAUCCUGAAGCAGCAACGCCGCGUGGAGGAUGAAGGGUCUAUGACUUGUAAACUCCUGUAAAGAAGGAAAAAAUUCCCAUUUGAUGGGAGAUGAUGGUACUUCUGGAGUAAGCCCCGGCUAACUACGUGCCAGCAGCCGCGGUAAUACGUAGGGGGCAAGCGUUGUCCGGAUUUACUGGGUGUAAAGGGUGCUCAGGCGGAUUUGUAAGUCAGAGGUGAAAUCUUACAGCUUAACUGUGAAACUGCCUUUGAUACUGCAAGCCUAGAGUAUGGAAGAGAGCGAUGGAAUAUCUGGUGUAGCAGUGAAAUGCGUAGAUAUCAGAUAGAACACCAAUGGCGAAGGCAGUCACUUGGUCCAUUACUGACGCUAAAGCACGAAAGCGUGGGUAGCAAACA
rnacentral:rRNA from 1 species